rnacentral:rRNA from 1 species
AUACGGAGGAUGCAAGCGUUAUCCGGAUUUAUUGGGUUUAAAGGGUGCGUAGGCGGCCUUGUAAGUCAGUGGUGAAAACCUUCAGCUUAACUGGAGACUUGCCAUUGAUACUGUUAUUCUUGAGUAUAGUUAAGGUAGGCGGAAUGUGUAAUGUAGCGGUGAAAUGCUUAGAUAUUACACAGAACACCAAUUGCGAAGGCAGCUUACUGAGCUAUAACUGACGCUGAUGCACGAAAGCGUGGGGAGC